AUAUAUACUUUGUUUCAAUGUAUCUUUUUUUUCAAUGCAGAAGGUGAAUGUUCAAUCCGUAAAAGCAAUUAGAUAGAUUUCAAAACAUUCACUAGAAGGUGAUUGUCAUGAUCGUUGCUGAUCUAGAUCGGUAUUCAUCAUAAUAUUCAUCGUUUUUCAUGCUUUAUUGGCUGUUUUUGGAUGUAGUUCUUGAUUACUUCAAUAUAAUUAGGGAGAAAAAAGAGUGGAGGGGAUUGAGAAUGUGGCAGGUAUAUAACUUUGAUGUGAAGAUAAUGGAGAGUGGCACUUUGAUGAGAAGGUGAUGCUCUGUUAGUGUGUGUUAUGAUGCGCCGUGUGUUUUAGGUAUGUAAUUUUUUUUCCUACUUCAGUUUCAAGUUUGCCUUUGGUGUUAAUGUUUAGCCGUUUUGUACGAUAGAGUUUGUUCAUUCAGUUUUACUCUUUUCCCAAUCAUUGUUGCAUGCGUGAAUUCAUUACCCUCUUGUUUAGGACUUCUCAUGUAUAAAUAGGGACCGUUUGUUUUAUUAUGAUUCACAUUAUCUUAAAAUUACUUAUAUCUUUCCUUUUUAUUACUCUCUCUAACACUUAUUUGUGUUUUUUCGCAAACUAUUUUCCCUGGAUUGUGUGAUAAAGGAAGGUUAAGCCUGAAUUGAGAAUGGCAGGUUCCUGAUACAUUAGUUUGCUUUUCUUCCUUUAAUUUAUACCUUCGUGAAUGUUAUUGUUACUUGAAUAUUUUUUUAUAAAUCUUAGGCGUUUAAAAUUGAAAUUAUUCUGCUUACUGGUAGUAUUAAGUUGAACUAAGCUUUAACAAUAUGUCAUGGCUUCAUUUUGUAGUAUAAAUGCACAAUUAGACCUAAAGUUCUUUUUGUCUCUUACACUCAUACAAUAAAAAGAAAAACCAUGACCAUGUGUAUUAGACAAAUUUCAAGUUUGCAAUGUCAGGAUCUAUCAAUUACCGAGAUAAGUUCAUGUUUAAGUUUGCAAUGUUUGAUUUGUGGCAGUUGGCAAGUUUUGCUGCGGUUGGGGUUCUUAAGCAACUUUUUCUCAACUUUUUGUUGCAUUCUCAACUCUGUUCUCACAUUAACAUCUUUUUCUGCUGUGUAUUCUCAGCUAUUUCUUUCUCUCCCAUUCAAGCAAAUAUCAGGUGAGACAUUAAAACAAAAUCCAACAUUGUCCCCCAUUAUAGUUGCAGAUUUUAGCGAUUAUGAGCAGGUUAGGCAUUGUGAUAGUGAAUGUGAUUCGGAACAUUGCAGGACAAAUUGUUUAUAAAGAGAUUGUCUGGUCUAAUUUUGAUUGUGCAGGAUGUGUAGUGCUUUUAUAAUUCUCAAGAACCCCAACCGAGAUGGUUUUGCCAGUGUAACCCCUGGCAAAAAGUUAGCGACGAGUGGUUUUGCCCAUGCUUCCGCCCCUAGCAAAUUCCCUCACAAACGUCCCUUUUCCCAGGGAUUCUGUCCUUUUCUCAAGGAUUUUGCCCCUGACAAAAGUCAAUUAAAGGAUAUUAUUGAUUCAACUCACGAGAAGCUUUCAUCGGAGUCUGGAUAUAGCAAGUCACCAAGUCAACUCAUCAAGCAUAGAGAAGACAAUUUAGCCUUAGUAGAAGUUAGUUAUAACCGAUUACUUUCUAUUCAAGUAAUCUAGUUAUCUAGCUUAUUCUAUAAAUAGCUUCAAUGUAACUUACAUUCUCUUUGAGUCAAUGAAUCAAAACUUGAAUUUUUCUCCGAGAUGUUUAUUAUCAAUCCAAGGCCUCGAAUGCAAUCCACCCUUUUUGCAGUUUCAAACAUUCCUCCCAUUUUCUCGAAGAUGUUUGGAUAAAGCACU